rnacentral:rRNA from 1 species
GACGAACGCUGGCGGCGUGCUUAACACAUGCAAGUCGAACGGAAAGGCCCUGCUUUUGUGGGGUGCUCGAGUGGCGAACGGGUGAGUAACACGUGAGUAACCUGCCCUUGACUUUGGGAUAACUUCAGGAAACUGGGGCUAAUACCGUAUAGGAGCUCCUGCUGCAUGGUGGGGGUUGGAAAGUUUCGGCGGUUGGGGAUGGACUCGCGGCUUAUCAGCUUGUUGGUGGGGUAGUGGCUUACCAAGGCUUUGACGGGUAGCCGGCCUGAGAGGGUGACCGGCCACAUUGGGACUGAGAGACGGCCCAGACUCCUACGGGAGGCAGCAGGGGGGAAUAUUGCACAAUGGGCGGAAGCCUGAUGCAGCAACGCCGCGUGCGGGAUGACGGCCUUCGGGUUGUAAACCGCUUUCGCCUGUGACGAAGCGUGAGUGACGGUAAUGGGUAAAGAAGCACCGGCUAACUACGUG